AGUACCCCGGAAGGGGAGUGAAAGAGAACUUGAAACCGUGUGCUUACAAGUAGUCAGAGCCCGUUAAUGGGUGAUGGCGUGCCUUUUGUAGAAUGAACCGGCGAGUUACGAUCUGAUGCAAGGUUAAGCAGAAAAUGUGGAGCCGUAGCGAAAGCGAGUCUGAAUAGGGCGAAUGAGUAUUUGGUCGUAGACCCGAAACCAGGUGAUCUACCCUUGGUCAGGUUGAAGUUCAGGUAACACUGAAUGGAGGACCGAACCGACUUACGUUGAAAAGUGAGCGGAUGAACUGAGGGUAGCGGAGAAAUUCCAAUCGAACUUGGAGAUAGCUGGUUCUCUCCGAAAUAGCUUUAGGGCUAGCCUCAAGUGAUGAUUAUUGGAGGUAGAGCACUGUUUGGACGAGGGGCCCCUCUCGGGUUACCGAAUUCAGACAAACUCCGAAUGCCAAAUAAUUUAACUUGGGAGUCAGAAUGUGGGUGAUAAGGUCCAUAUUCGAAAGGGAAACAGCCCAGACCACCAGCUAAGGUCCCAAAAUAUAUGUUAAGUGGAAAAGGAUGUGGCGUUGCCCAGACAACUAGGAUGUUGGCUUAGAAGCAGCCAUCAUUUAAAGAGUGCGUAAUAGCUCACUAGUCGAGUGACACUGCGCCGAAAAUGUACCGGGGCUAAACAUAU
rnacentral:rRNA from 1 species